rnacentral:rRNA from 1 species
AUGAUCCGCCUGUUGUUGAACUGCUUCGUGUCGGCCACGGGCCUCGUUACCAAUAUGGACAAGAGCUCUGCCUUGCCUAUUCGCUGCGGCGGCCUGGACCUUCCGCACAUUCUUUCGCCGCUAGGGAUUCCAAUCAAAUCUUUUCCGACGACUUAUCUUGGCAUGCCCCUUUCACUUCCGAAUCUGAACAAAGUGGACCUGGACCCCUUCCUCAUAAAAUUCGGAAACAAGGCCGCUGGAUGGAAGGGUGACUUGAUGGCAAAGAGCGGCAGGUUGGUGUUACUGAAGACAGGGCUGACCUCACUGGCUAUAUAUAUGAUGACCGUGCACAAAUUACCAGCCUGGGUGAUAAAGCGCAUGUCGCAGAUUUGUCGUGCCUGGCUAUGGAACGGGGACAAUACCUGCAACGGUGGGAAUUGCAGGGUGGCCUGGAGCUUGAUCUGCCGCCCCAAACAUCUUGGUGGCCUGGGUGUCCUUGACAUUGCCAAAUUCGGUCGGGCUCUUAGGCUACGCUAG